GUAGCAUUGGCCGAGAGGUCUAAGGCGCUGGUUUAAGGCACCAGUCAUUUCGAUGGCGUGGGUUCGAAUCCCACUGCUUCC
rnacentral:tRNA from 1 species